AGGGAAUCUUCGGCAAUGGGCGAAAGCCUGACCGAGCAACGCCGCGUGAAUGAAGAAGGCCUUCGGGUUGUAAAAUUCUGUUAUAAGGGAAGAAAGGUGAUAGGAGGAAAUGACUAUCAAUUGACGGUACUUUAUGCGAAAGCCACGGAUAACUACGUCACAGCACACGCGGUAAUACGUAGGUGGCAAGCGUUAUCCGGAAUUAUUGGGCGUAAAGAGCGCGCAGGUGGUUAAUUAAGUCUGAUGUGAAAGCCCACGGCUUAACCGUGGAGGGUCAUUGGAAACUGGUUGACUUGAGUGCAGAAGAGGGAAGUGGAAUUCCAUGUGUAGCGGUGAAAUGCGUAGAGAUAUGGAGGAACACCAGUGGCGAAGGCGGCUUCCUGGUCUGCAACUGACACUGAGGCGCGAAAGCGUGGGGAGCAAACAGG
rnacentral:rRNA from 1 species